AUGUCUAGCAUAAAAGAAAGAUAAAAGGUUAUGAAAGUGAAAUCGAAGCUUUAACAUGCAAAUUAAACGAAAAACUUCAAGUAAUAGAAUUAGCUCACGAAAUGAUGGCUGAGAAAACAAAAGAGAAUUCUGAAAAAUGCAAAGAGUUGUCAGAUGCACAACUCAAAAUUAUUGAACUUGAACAGAAAUUAAGUCAAUUCAGAGAUUCGUCUUUUGUUAUGAAACACAUGAUGGGUAGGUUAAAGAAGAGUAAUGACAAGACCACUGUGGGCUUCCAGGGCUUUAAUGAAGUCCCGCCUCCUCUUAGUCAUGACUAUUCUUUCCUCCCUGAUGAAGAUGAGCUAGCAGCCUAUAUGUCAACCGCACCAAGUAGUUUCGCAUCUACAUCAAGUCAAGGUGAGGGGUCUGAGAGUGGUGAUGCUAGGAAGAAAAAUA
rnacentral:lncRNA from 1 species